rnacentral:rRNA from 1 species
AUGGACGCCAAGAAGAGGUCGCCGCCCGCCCCCUCGGCCGCCGGAGCCGCGCCGCCCGCGGCCAACGGAUACUUCAGCUCCGUCUUCUCCGCACCGGCGUCGCCUGCGGCAAAUCCAAGAGACGCCAGGCAGAUGGACCUGUACACGAUACUGAACAAGCAGAACCCCAAAGGGCUGAGUGGCGGGGGCAUUGCAGAUGCCAAAUCCCAAGGCAACCCUACUAAUGGUCGUGUUGCAUAUAAAGAUGGAAAACAGUUUUAUCCAAACGAGUCCUCAGAGUCACCUUAUUUUGGCUCGUCUGUGCAUUACGGUGGCCGGGACUUCUAUGACAGCUCUCCACACAAGCAAGCUGAUGAAUCAUCCAGAAAUUAUAAGGAGGAUAAUGCAGAUGGCUCCCUGGCUACCAGAGGUGAUUGGUGGCAAGGUUCACUUUACUACUAA